AGAUCUAAAAAAGACAUAAGCAUGUUCUUGUCGUCCAUCUGAACAUUGUAGAGACAAGAAACAAAGGAAGAUACCAAGGCAUAUGCAGCAACAAUGGCAUUCCCAAUGAAGAAGAACCUAAGAAUAAUUAAGGCCAGCAAGAAUUGAAGAUCAAUACCUGAAGAUUUGGAGAACUUAUAAGAAAAAAAGAAUGAAAACUAUAUAUAUCAUCAUACUGAAACGUUGGAGAAUUUUUGUAAGAAGCGGAAACUAUUAAUCCUCCAAUGUUGGAGACUUGCUUGUUGAAGAACAUGAGUGCAGCAGCAAAACUGGUAAAUAAAAAUGCCAAAAUUCUUAGAAUUGUAUCACAAGAACAACAACCCAUCUUCUGAAUUCUGGUUUUUCAAGAUCUUUGAUCACUUGUAUCUUUGAUCUUGAUCUAGUAUCUGAUAUAUAUAUAUAACACAUUCUCUAU
rnacentral:lncRNA from 1 species